CUGGGAGUAUGCAGCUGUGUUCCCCGGCACUCCCUUCUAUCUCACGUGCUUUGGGUGCACGAGGUCGGGGGUUCGAAUCCCCCCUCCCCGA
rnacentral:tRNA from 1 species